GCAAAGAGUGCGCCAAUGUCGUAUAGAAGAUGGAAAUUUGUGGAAGAACGGCUUGUACAUCCACUAGAUAAUGUUGUGGAGAGCCAGUGGAGGAUACUCGUUGAGGUUUGGGAAAAGGAUGUGAAGAAACAAGAAAUGUGCGCUGUCAACAAAGAAAACAUGAAGAAGCAAAACUUUCACCAUACUACAGGCUCUAAACCACAUGCAAAGUGUGCAGCAGAGCUGGCGUAGAAAUCAGGACGGCGUCCUAAACGUCACGAGGUUUUUGAAGUUACCCAUACUAAAAAAAAGAAAACUGAAGACCCAGAUGAAGUAUUGAUGGAACCUGAAGUGGCU